CUGUAUAUGAGCACUUACAUCUUAGUAGUAUAAUAUUGCCUCAUUUUGCAUGAAUUGCCUCGUAGAAUAAGUACAUGAUAUCAACUUUACAACACUCGUAAGGGAAUCGAAAGAGAGAGUUUGAAAGGGGGGAUGUACCGGGCGUUGCUCGAACGGCACCUCAAUCUCCAAGCCAGGAUCCCAGCUCUGACCAGAUUAAUUGUUGUGAAACACUGAAACUGAACAAAGCUUUAGAGCUCUCCCAGAAUUUGAAGCCAAGAACAGGAAGCAAAUCAUCAAGAAAAUUGGUUAAGAAUCAUCCAAUUAUUUGGGUGGAUGAUAAAUACGGAGUACUCUACUUUGUUUUUCUCUUUUCAAAAAUUGUGGGUUUUGGUGUUUUGUGUUAUGGAAAAUGAAGUCACUUGAAUGUUUUAGCUUUGUAUCCACAAGUUUGGGACAUGAAGCAUAAUGGUAGAUAAUUGCAGGAUAUUUUGCUUAA